rnacentral:rRNA from 1 species
GUGGGGAAUUUUGGACAAUGGGCGAAAGCCUGAUCCAGCCAUGCCGCGUGCAGGAUGAAGGCCUUCGGGUUGUAAACUGCUUUUGUACGGAACGAAAAGACUCCUUCUAAUAAAGGGGGUCCAUGACGGUACCGUAAGAAUAAGCACCGGCUAACUACGUGCCAGCAGCCGCGGUAAUACGUAGGGUGCAAGCGUUAAUCGGAAUUACUGGGCGUAAAGCGUGCGCAGGCGGUUAUAUAAGACAGAUGUGAAAUCCCCGGGCUCAACCUGGGAACUGCAGUUGGGACUGUAUAGCUAGAGUACGGUAGAGGGGGAUGGAAUUCCGCGUGUAGCAGUGAAAUGCGUAGAUAUGCGGAGGAACACCGAUGGCGAAGGCAAUCCCCUGGACCUGUACUGACGCUCAUGCACGAAAGCGUGGGGAGCAAACAGGAUUAGAAACCCCGGUAGUCC